GCCAGGCAUGGUGGUGCAUGCCUGUAAUCCCAGCUACUUGGGAGGCUGAGGCAGGAGAAUUGCUUGAACGCAGGAGGUGGAGGUUGCAGUGAGCCAAGAUCACACCACUGCACUCCAGCCUGGGCGACAGAGCAAGACUCUGUCUCCA
ensembl:misc_RNA Metazoa_SRP Metazoan signal recognition particle RNA